AACGAACGCUGGCGGCAUGCCUAACACAUGCAAGUCGAACGAGACCUUCGGGUCUAGGGGCGCACGGGUGCGUAACGCGUGGGAACCUACCCUUAGGUUCGGAAUAACUCCCCUUAAGGGGUGCUAAUACCAGAUAAUGUCUUCGGACCAAAGAUCUAUCGCUUUUGGAUGGGCCCGCGUUGGAUUCGCUGGUUGGUAGGGUAAAAGCCUACCAAGGCGACGAUCCAUAGCUGGUCUGGGAGGAUGACCAGCAACGCUGGGACUGCGACACGGCCCAGACGCGUACGCGGGGGAGCGGAGGGGUGUAUAAGACGCUGAGCGCUAGCCUGGUACAGCAGUGCGCCGUAUGUGAGGAAGGCCUUAGUGUUGUAAAGCUCUUUUUGCCGAGAUGAUAAUGACAGUACCGGGAAAAUAAGCUCCGGCUAACUACGUG
rnacentral:rRNA from 1 species